rnacentral:rRNA from 1 species
CCCUUAGAUGUUCUGGGCCGCACGCGCGCUACACUGAUGCAUUCAACGAGCCUAUCCUUGACCGACAGGUCCGGGUAAUCUUUGAAUCUGCAUCGUGACGGGGAUAGAUUAUUGCAAUUAUUAAUCUUCAACGAGGAAUGCCUAGUAGGCGCAAGUCAUCAGCUUGCGUCGAUUACGUCCCUGCCCUUUGUACACACCGCCCGUCGCUCCUACCGAUUGGGUGUGCUGGUGAAAUGUUCGGAUCGGCCGUUUGUCGCGGUUUCCGCGUCAUGUGGCUGAGAAGUUCAUUAAAUCCUCCCACCUAGAGGAAGGAGAAGUCGUAACA